rnacentral:rRNA from 1 species
UACGGGGGGGGCAAGCGUUGUCCGGAUUUAUUGGGCGUAAAGAGCUCGUAGGCGGCUUGUCGCGUCGAAUGUGAAAUCUCGGGGCUCAACUCCGAGCUUGCAUUCGAUACGGGCAGGCUAGAGUUCGGUAGGGGAGACUGGAAUUCCUGGUGUAGCGGUGAAAUGCGCAGAUAUCAGGAGGAACACCGGUGGCGAAGGCGGCAUCCUGGACCGGCAUUGACGCUGAGGCGCGAAAGCGUGGGGAGCAAACAGG